rnacentral:siRNA from 1 species
CUAUGGGAGAUGUUUCUUGUU